UCUUGUUUGGAGAGACAGGAAAGUGCUGCUGCUGCUGCUUGAGUGAUGUCAGUGUUUCACAUCGGUCUGUUCUCAUACAGCAGCUCAGAGAGAGGAGGACGGCAGCUGUGCGGUUUGGAUGAACACUUUCUCAGCGGUAAAAACAAGAGAAAGGAGAAAACCGUCGACACUCACCGACACACAGGAACAUAAACACUUUCUUUUUGAAGCUGUCGUGUCUGUCGUGGGAAAGUACUCCAGCCUCCACUGCUACGAAACGAGAAACAACCCACAGCCACAGAGCAGCCGAGCCUCCGGAUGCUGUACUUUUCCACUGGAACCAUGGUGUCAGCAGUCAUUAAGAUGUAUCUGUUUGGAUCGAUGAUUUCUGUCCUGGCGGUGUUUUAUGCGAUAGUGGACUCCUUCGGCGGCCUCAUGUACGUCCAAGAUCAUCACUACAGCCGACCGGUGGAUGUGAACCUUCAAAGUGAAAGGCAGCUCUCCUCAACCAGACACCGGAGAGAAGCGUCCGUGACCAGAAACAUCGGCUCAUGAGGAAGUUGUACUGCCUAACUUGUUGGACAAGCUCUGCACUUUGAAAAGGCACGGACUGUUUGUUGAUACGGACGCGCUGUCCCACAGGAUGUCUCUGUUUGUUCUAUUUUAUACCAUCAGCUGUCCAGAACUGCCGCAGAUAAUCUGUGUUGAAUCAACUACAGAUCUGACAUUGUAACAGCACUACUGAACAAUGACUUGCACUAAAACUUGAAAGUUUUGACUUUUUCUUUUUUCAAUAAAAUGAGUUAAACCAUUUUUUAAAAUUGAUGUAAUGAUUACAAGUUGACUUCUGCCUCUUCUCAGGAACAGGAGUCAUAGGUUGACUGUUCACUGGAAAAGUUGCAUGUCUGUCUCAGUAAAUACAAUUUAAAAACA